UACGUAGGGUGCGAGCGUUAAUCGGAAUUACUGGGCGUAAAGCGUGCGCAGGCGGUUCGUUGUGUCGGCGGUGAAAGCCCCGGGCUCAACCUGGGAAUGGCCGUUGAAACUGGCGAACUGGAGUGUGGCAGAGGGGGGUGGAAUCCGCGUGUAGCAGUGAAAUGCGUAGAGAUGCGGAGGAACACCGAUGACGAAGGCAGCCCCCUGGGCUAACACUGACGCUCAGGCACGAAAGCGUGGGGAGCAAACAGG
rnacentral:rRNA from 1 species